rnacentral:tRNA from 1 species
GGGGGCGUAGCUCAGUUGGUAGAGCGCCUGCUUUGCAAGCAGGGGGUCGUCGGUUCGAGACCGAUCGCCUCCA